GGGCUGGAGGGAGAUGGAGGUCCCUGUCACAGGAGGAAAUGAUCUGUUGCAGCAGUGGGGGCUCACGAGAGAAGGGAAUUUGUAACAUGCCCAUCGCCAUGACCAGCUUCUGGUGCUCUUGAACACAGAUUUAUCAAACUUGAAGACUCAUUAACUAGCUGAGAAGGAAUCUGCAAACUCCUGCUGAGAAACGUAGUGUCAAAUUUGUUGGGUGAUUAUACAGAUAAUGAAACCAAUACAUGAAAAUUUCAAGUGAUGAUCAGGUCAACUAUACCAAAAGAAGAUUCUUGGCAGCUGAAGGACUUCAGGGAAAAUGUUCUUGUG